rnacentral:rRNA from 1 species
UCUAGAAAUUUGCACAAUCGCCGAAAGGCGGAUGCAGCGACGCCACGUGGAGGAUGAAGCCUUUCGGGGUGUAAACUCCUGUCAGAGGGGAAGAAGGUGCGGGUAUUAAUACCAUCCGUUACUUGACGGUACCCUCAGAGGAAGCUCCGGCUAACUGCGUGCCAGCAGCCGCGGUAAUACGUGGGGAGCAAGCGUUGUUCGGAUUUACUGGGCGUAAAGAGCUCGUAGGCGGAUGUGUAAGUCGGAUGUGAAAUCCUUUGGCUCAACCAGAGAAUUGCACCCGAAACUGCAUGUCUUGAGUUCAGCAGAGGGAAUCGGAAUCCAAGGUGUAGCGGUGAAAUGCGUAGAUAUCUUGGAGAACACCAGUGGCGAAGGCGGAUUCCUGGGCUGACACUGACGCUGAGGAGCGAAAGCUGGGGGAGCGAACAGG